rnacentral:rRNA from 1 species
CAGUCGAGCGGACAGAUGGGAGCUUGCUCCCUGAUGUUAGCGGCGGACGGGUGAGUAACACGUGGGUAACCUGCCUGUAAGACUGGGAUAACUCCGGGAAACCGGGGCUAAUACCGGAUGCUUGUUUGAACCGCAUGGUUCAGACAUAAAAGGUGGCUUCGGCUACCACUUACAGAUGGACCCGCGGCGCAUUAGCUAGUUGGUGAGGUAACGGCUCACCAAGGCGACGAUGCGUAGCCGACCUGAGAGGGUGAUCGGCCACACUGGGACUGAGACACGACCCAAACUCCUACGGGAGGCAGCAGUAGGGAAUCUUCCGCAAUGGACGAAAGUCUGACGGAGCAACGCCGCGUGAGUGAUGAAGGUUUUCGGAUCGUAAAGCUCUGUUGUUAGGGAAGAACAAGUGCCGUUCAAAUAGGGCGGCACCUUGACGGUACCUAACCAGAAAGCCACGGCUAACUACGUGCCAGCAGCCGCGGUAAUACGUAGGUGGCAAGCGUUGUCCGGAAUUAUUGGGCGUAAAGGGCUCGCAGGCGGUUUCUUAAGUCUGAUGUGAAAGCCCCCGGCUCAACCGGGGAGGGUCAUUGGAAACUGGGGAACUUGAGUGCAGAAGAGGAGAGUGGAAUUCCACGUGUAGCGGUGAAAUGCGUAGAGAUGUGGAGGAACACCAGUGGCGAAGGCGACUCUCUGGUCUGUAACUGACGCUGAGGAGCGAAAGCGUGGGGAGCGAACAGGAUUAGAUACCCUGGUAGUCCACGCCGUAAACGAUGAGUGCUAAGUGUUAGGGGGUUUCCGCCCCUUAGUGCUGCAGCUAACGCAUUAAGCACUCCGCCUGGGGAGUACGGUCGCAAGACUGAAACUCAAAGGAAUUGACGGGGGCCCGCACAAGCGGUGGAGCAUGUGGUUUAAUUCGAAGCAACGCGAAGAACCUUACCAGGUCUUGACAUCCUCUGACAAUCCUAGAGAUAGGACGUCCCCUUCGGGGGCAGAGUGACAGGUGGUGCAUGGUUGUCGUCAGCUCGUGUCGUGAGAUGUUGGGUUAAGUCCCGCAACGAGCGCAACCCUUGAUCUUAGUUGCCAGCAUUCAGUUGGGCACUCUAAGGUGACUGCCGGUGACAAACCGGAGGAAGGUGGGGAUGACGUCAAAUCAUCAUGCCCCUUAUGACCUGGGCUACACACGUGCUACAAUGGACAGAACAAAGGGCAGCGAAACCGCGAGGUUAAGCCAAUCCCACAAAUCUGUUCUCAGUUCGGAUCGCAGUCUGCAACUCGACUGCGUGAAGCUGGAAUCGCUAGUAAUCGCGGAUCAGCAUGCCGCGGUGAAUACGUUCCCGGGCCUUGUACACACCGCCCGUCAGGCCACGAGAGUUUGUAACACCCGAAGUCGGUGAGGUAACCUUUUAGGA